rnacentral:rRNA from 1 species
UAAGGUGAAACCGCGAAUGGCUCAUUAAAUCAGUCAUGGUUCCUUAGAACAUACCAUCCUUCUUGGAUAACUGUGGUAAUUCUAGAGCUAAUACAUGCAACAGAGCUCCGACCCUUGUGGAACGAGCGCUUUUAUUAGACCAAAGACCAAUCGGAGCUUCGGCCCCGUCAGUCUGUGGUGACUCUGGAUAACUUUUAGCGGAUCGCACGGUCAUCGUGCCGGCGACUCCUCUUUCAAAUGUCUGCCUUAUCAACUUUCGAUGGUAGGUUAAUUGCCUACCAUGGUUGUAACGGGUGACGGGGAAUCAGGGUUCGAUUCCGGAGAGGGAGCCUGAGAAACGGCUACCACAUCCAAGGAAGGCAGCAGGCACGCAAAUUACCCACUCCCAGUACGGGGAGGUAGUGACGAAAAAUAACAAUGCGGGACUCUUACGAGGCCCCGUAAUUGGAAUGAGUCCACUUUAAAUCCUUUAACGAGGACCUAUUGGAGGGCAAGUCUGGUGCCAGCAGCCGCGGUAAUUCCAGCUCCAAUAGCGUAUACUAAAGUUGUUGCGGUUAAAAAGCUCGUAGUUGGAUGUCAGUCGCGGGCGGGCGGUCCACCGUUUUGGUGGUUUACUGCUCGUCCCGCGACCUACUGGCCGGCCUCCCCCGCUAUGCUCUUCACCGGGUGUGGCGGGUGGCCGGAAAGUUUACUUUGAAAAAAUUAGAGUGCUCUAAGCAGGUGCUUGCCGCCUGAAUAACACAGCAUGGAAUAAUGGAAUAGGACCUCGGUUCUAUUUUGUUGGUUUUCGGAAUUCCGAGGUAAUGAUUAAUAGGGACAGACGGGGGCA